UCCCUGCGCCUCUCGGGCUAUGGCAGCUGCUGGCCCGGCUGAGGUGGUGGUGGUGGGAUCCUGUAUGACCGACCUGGUCAGUUGCUGGUCAAGAAAGUAUAAAAUAUAUGGCUCAGAAGAAUAUGGAAUGUGCAAAACAUAGACACAGACACCCAUUCCAGAAUUCAUGAAAAACUGUCCACGGGUUUUGUGUCAGGAAGAUUAAGUAUUUUGUGUAAUUUGUAGAAAGCAUCAGACGCUUUCUGAGAAAGAUACCCCUGCUUAUAAGAGGACUAAGACCUUUUAGAAUUGAUCCUUACGUGUACAUGAAUUCUCCAGCAGAUUUUAAAGUACUGAAAUAGAAAACGUGGCCCUUUAUCCACAAAAAGUUCCUGUUAUUAGUUUGUUCUGUAAAAUGCAAUACCAGGAGAUGCCAAAGUUUGUCACAUAUAUAACACAACUGUCACAAUUGUUAAAUGUAGUUACAGUCUUAGGCCCUGUCGUGAUUGGAAAAAAGAGUGUGUGUUUCAACUGUAUUAGUUUAAUGUGAUUAAAGCUUGGACCUUGUUAAAACACACAGGAUAACACAUUUGAAGUCAUGUUAGCUGAACCUUUUAUAGCUAAUGGGUUAAAACAUAUUAACCUUCACAUUAAUAGGCAUUGGAGGGCUUUUUCACUUGUGUUAAACUAACUUGAUUUAACUAAUAUGAUUUGGAAAAACCUAUCCAUUUUGGUCUUCGGUACACCGGGCCUUGGGCCUUAUAUGUAAACUAGCGUUUUAAAAAAAAAAAAAUAUGGAAGGCUGCAAUAAAGGUAGCUCAGUUGAGCUAGCUUAACUUGUUUGAAACUCCACCUGAACUGUGUCUACAGUGGGGGCAAGUGGGGUUUUCAAUUGAGUUUGUAAGCCGACUUGAUUGAAAAAGCACUCCUUUUCUAAGUCUCUGCGAUUUUGAAAUGCUCUACAUUUGCAGGCCAAAAAUUACUUUAAUCUUGUAUCAAAUUACAUUAAUACCCAUGCUGAGGAAGACUUUAUAUGGGCAAUUUCAAAAUCUCUGAGGGAGGUGUCUCAAAAAUGCAUACAGAAAGGAAGAUGUAUUACUGUGCUUGCUUAUGGAUCCAGUGAUGAAUUUGUAUCUGAGCUAAAUCAGCGUGCAUCAGAUUUGUGGAAGAUAGGAAACCUUGUACUCUCUUUUCUAGUGUACCAUUUGGAAAUAAAAACAGCAUCAGGGAAAGCUGGUGUUAUCAUGUAGGGAAUAAUAGCUUUGUGAAAGUUGUGGAUAUCAAAUCAAAACCUGUUAGAUUUUGUGUAAACAGGGAAAUGAACUGGAAUAGCUAUUCUGAAAUAUUUAAUCUGGAAUACUAUUCCUGAUUCACUCCCCAUUUGGAUGCUCUUAUUCUGGAGUGAAUGAGGAAUAGUAUUCCUGAUUAAAUUCACAACCUAUUUUAUUCUAGAAUAAUUUUCUGCAUAGACAAGCCCUCAGUUUGAAUUUAGAUAGCAAAAUAGUACAUAGUGCUAGUCAUGCUUAAACAAGAUGCUAGUGUUGUGGUUGAUGCCAUGCAAAGCCGCAACCUGUGCUUUAUAUUCUAGAUCUUCUAUAUUAAAAAAUCCUAUCUUGGAAAAUUAGAAUUUGUGUUGAAAGACAUUUAAGUCUCUGUGACUCUGGCAACCCAGCUGGCCUGUGUCUGACCCAUAAUCACUUAACAAGAGGCAUUACAAUUGUAUCAGGACAAUUCAGUUGUAUGUAAAUUUCAAAGAGAUGUACUAGACAGUAAUCGUUAAUCGAUUCAUUUGUAGCAAUAGAAACUAAGGAUAAAUACUAAGUGUAUUAUUCUUUGUUUACGUGUAUACUAUUAGACAUUUAACAAUAACCAAAUUAGCUUGUAGAUGCUAAUUUCUGUUCGUCUUAAUUGCCUUUAUAUUAUGUAUGCAACUGUUUUCAGUCAACCUUAAGAUCAAAGAUGUAAGAAGCUGUGUGAAAUUAACAAUAUUGCAUAUAUUGUCUUCAGUUUAUCUAUCCACGAUACAAUGUAUAACUGGCAGUUGCCUUAUGUUAGUAAGUGUAACUCGAUUACCUGUGUAUGCAUAAUAAAUAGAAUCAGCAAAAAGUCCCGUGGCACCUUAUAGACUAACAGACGUAUUGGAGCAUGAGCUUUUGAAAGGACUCUGCUGCUUUUACAGAUCCAGACUAACACGGCUACCCCUCUGAUACUUAAUAAAUAGAAUAUUAACUUCAAAGUGAUGGAACAGUGUGUGCUCAACAAAGAAGAAUCCUCAGUCACAUGCUGUUCUCAAAACACUGACUAGCCCGCUUCAGCUAUAAAAGUGAAAUCUGGGGCCUGAUCCUUUCCUCUCUAGUCUGCUGAACUUUAAACAGGGAAAGUUUAACCUAUGGGAUUGAGAUCUUCCAAGUAGUUUUUUGGAAUACCUGGGAAAAUGUAUGGGAAGACUCUCUAUCAGACUUUACAUGUAACCAGCAUUUGGAUUCUGACCUUUUGAGAUGGUUCCAGAGAGACUUAUACAAGCCAGCAGAUAUAACAUCACUGCUAUGAUCCUGAUCUAAGAACACUGAAAAUCACUUGUAUGUAUAUCAUUCCUUAACCAUUUAAUAAUUCUCUUAUUUUCUCUUAUUAAUAAAUCUUUAGUUAGUUCG